UAACAAGAGUACUUAAUAGGUAAUGGAGCAAAGUACACAUCCAACUUGGAGGAAUGCAGAAGGGAGAUCUAUACUCCCCACUGUAGAAAGAGUUUUACUGCAAGUCAUCUGAAUCCCAUUUGAGAAAGGGCACAGCGUCAAUCCUGUUUCUCUGCACAGAAACUGUCAACUGCUUGUCUUGCCCAGACAACAACCUCCAAUGGCUUCCCAGUAUCCUCUGCAGUGCAAACAGUCCUCUUCAUCUGAUAAACUUGUCUUAGAGCACUACACUGAAUUCUAUGAAGUUUUGAGGAGAGAAGCAGAAAAGUCCCAUUAGGAAAGCGGUGGCACGUGCAGUGGAGUGUCCAGAUAAAGUCUGAGAUUCAGGAAAAUAUUCUAACCAA